rnacentral:snoRNA from 1 species
AGGUGAUGAUGAUAACAUAUAAUCCCAGCUCUAUGAGACCUUUUGUGGUCAAGGAGUAUAACUAUGUUCAUACAUUUAUCUGAGCCU